GGGCCCGUAGGCAAACGGAAUACCGCUACAUUCGCAUUGUAGAGUUCCGGGUUCAAUUCCCGGCGGGUCCA
rfam:Microgenomates (Woesebacteria) bacterium GW2011_GWB1_43_14 TV74_C0002, whole genome shotgun sequence.